rnacentral:rRNA from 1 species
UACGGAGGGUGCGAGCGUUACCCGGAUUUACUGGGUGUAAAGGGCGCGUAGGCGGUUAUUCAAGUCCGAUGCUAAAGACCGAAGCUCAACUUCGGGAGUGCGUUGGAUACUGGAUGGCUAGACGAUCGGAGAGGGUAGCGGAAUGGUCAGAGUAGCGGUGAAAUGCGCAGAUACUGAUCGGAACGCCAAUAGCGAAAGCAGCUACCUGGACGAUAAGUGACGCUGAGGCGCGAAAGCGUGGGGAGCAAACCGG